GGCACGGGUGAGUAACACGUAUCCAACCUGCCGUCUACUCUUGGACAGCCUUCUGAAAGGAAGAUUAAUACAAGAUGGCAUCAUGAGUCCGCAUGUUCACAUGAUUAAAGGUAUUCCGGUAGACGAUGGGGAUGCGUUCCAUUAGAUAGUAGGCGGGGUAACGGCCCACCUAGUCUUCGAUGGAUAGGGGUUCUGAGAGGAAGGUCCCCCACAUUGGAACUGAGACACGGUCCAAACUCCUACGGGAGGCAGCAGUGAGGAAUAUUGGUCAAUGGGCGAGAGCCUGAACCAGCCAAGUAGCGUGAAGGAUGACUGCCCUAUGGGUUGUAAACUUCUUUUAUAAAGGAAUAAAGUCGGGUAUGCAUACCCGUUUGCAUGUACUUUAUGAAUAAGGAUCGGCUAACUCCGUGCCAGCAGCCGCGGUAAUACGGAGGAUCCGAGCGUUAUCCGGAUUUAUUGGGUUUAAAGGGAGCGUAGAUGGAUGUUUAAGUCAGUUGUGAAAGUUUGCGGCUCAACCGUAAAAUUGCAGUUGAUACUGGAUAUCUUGAGUGCAGUUGAGGCAGGCGGAAUUCGUGGUGUAGCGGUGAAAUGCUUAGAUAUCACGAAGAACUCCGAUUGCGAAGGCAGCCUGCUAAGCUGCAACUGACAUUGAGGCUCGAAAGUGUGGGUAUCAAACAGGAUUAGAUACCCUGGUAGUCCACACGGUAAACGAUGAAUACUCGCUGUUUGCGAUAUACAGCAAGCGGCCAAGCGAAAGCGUUAAGUAUUCCACCUGGGGAGUACGCCGGCAACGGUGAAACUCAAAGGAAUUGACGGGGGCCCGCACAAGCGGAGGAACAUGUGGUUUAAUUCGAUGAUACGCGAGGAACCUUACCCGGGCUUAAAUUGCAGAUGAAUUACGGUGAAAGCCGUAAGCCGCAAGGCAUCUGUGAAGGUGCUGCAUGGUUGUCGUCAGCUCGUGCCGUGAGGUGUCGGCUUAAGUGCCAUAACGAGCGCAACCCUUGUUGUCAGUUACUAACAGGUUCCGCUGAGGACUCUGUCGGGACUGCCAUCGUAAGAUGUGAGGAAGGUGGGGAUGACGUCAAAUCAGCACGGCCCUUACGUCCGGGGCUACACACGUGUUACAAUGGGGGGUACAGAGGGCUGCUACCACGCAAGUGGAUGCCAAUCCCAAAAACCUCUCUCAGUUCGGAUUGAAGUCUGCAACCCGACUUCAUGAAGCUUGAUUCGCUAGUAAUCGCGCAUCAGCCACGGCGCGGUGAAUACGUUCCCGGGCCUUGUACAC
rnacentral:rRNA from 1 species